AUUUAUGUUGUCAAGACUCUGAGUCUUUAGUCAGCAGGUUGUCAAGAUCUAGAGUCUUUCGGCAGGCAGUGGAAACUGUUUAACAGUAUGGAGAGUAUAAUUAAACAUUUAAAUGAUUAUUAAGCUUAAUAGUAUACUGUGAAUAGUGGAAAUUUAUGUUGUCAAAACUUCGAGUCUUUUUUAAUCAGCAGGUUGUCAAGACCUAGAAUCUUUUGGCAGCUAGUGGAAACUGUUUUACAGUAUGGAUAGUUUGAAUGAUUAAUUAAGAUUAAUAGUACGUAUGACCGUGAAAUAAUCACCAACAAAAGAUUAGAUUGGGUUUGUUCUAUAAGUUGUAUGAUACAUCCUCAUUGGCCUCGUGGACCCAUAAAACGUACCAGUGUACUCUUCAUAAUAUUCUCUAAUGCAAAAUAAUUAUCUUUUCAAGGGAACGUGUUGGCCAUUAAUGUUUAAUUUAACGAAGGACAUGCAGUUGCUAACAGCAAAUCAUUUGUGGCUACAACAUAGUGACGAGUUCUUAUUUGAGUGUGUUAAGUGCCAUUCAGCAAAUAUUCUAUUGGUUUCAAAUCACCUGUACUGGUAACAUGAACUUUAAUUUGGAUUGUGACUGAUAUAAACUAUGUUGAAAUGAUUCAAUUGAAUCAAAAUAUGUAAUAUAGACUAUAGGUUUAAAGGGACCUUUCGUUAUUAAUACAGGAAGGGGGGGGGGCUGUUACGGAUUUGGUAAAAGCAAUAGUAAAGUAUACAUCCCCCUUUGCCCAGGCCUCGAAAUACAUCUGGAUGGUACACUCCGACUCGUCAUCAUGACAUGUGCAUUAUUUGCCGGUCAAUAUGGAUGUUUGGCCGGUCAUGUUUUGAUUUUCUUAUUUGCCUAGACUACAGUUUGAAAAUUUUACAUCCCCCCCUCUUUGUUGUCUUUACCACAAAUUAAUAUUUCAUACGUUUUCCAUAUAAAAAAAAGGCUGAUGAAUAUAAGAUAUGAAUUGAAUAUAAGAUAUGAAUUGAAUAUUUUUUGGCAUGUAUUGGUCAUACUGUAUAUGAAAAGAAUAAGUUGUCAAAAUCAUUGGAAGAGAUUUCUUCAAUAUGUUAUCAGACAUUUCAGUUUCACGCACACUCUCCACAGUAUCCAGUUCCUUUAAUUCACUCUCGUCGUCAUCACUGUCUACAGUACAUGGUAUUUCCACGCUCUGAAUACUCCUGUCCCUCUUCAUACAUAAAUCAUAAUAACUUACACAGAGAGGAAGUGGCUAAAUUGCAUCGAGUUGCAAUGGACAGUAUUGAUACUAUAAACUGUUAUAUUACUUAUUUAACGCUAUGGUUUUGAAUACCUUAUCCGGCUUCUUUCCUUUCCUGUUCAACUUGUGAUAAUUGAGAUACUUAUCAAGUUCUGCCACAUAUAGUAGCUUACUGAUUUCUUUAGGCUGUACUUGUUUCCCCCAUUCAUACAGUAGUCAUCAUAUGUCUUCUGUCUUGUUCUGGGUUUUUUUUCCGUUUGCCUCUUGUUCUGGGUUUUUUCCCCUUUAUCCUUUGCAUAUUCUGCAAAUGCUCCAGGUAUUCAUGCACCAAGUUUUCCUUUACGACGAAUUUAUUGUAAUGCAUUCCUGGUCGGUUGCAGAUAUACGAUCAUUGGCAAACUCCACUUUCAAGUUUUUUCUUGGCUGGAAAUCAUCCAGAUAUCUUGUUUCUCCACUGGGUUGCUUGUUAGAGCUAUCAAACACUGGUUUGUAGUGGCAACAGGGAAGACUGUCAUAAUCUUGUUCUGGUCGAGGAACCCUGUCCAUCUUCGGACCAACCCAACUGUGCUAUAAUUGAGAAAUAUGUAUGCAAGCCCCCCUCCAUCAUUAAAAAAACUUACAUUUCCCCUAAAAUAUUUGCUCAGAAAUGUCUACGCUCCGCACACAUUUCAUACCCCCCCCCCCUGUAUUAAUAAUGAACGGUCCCUAGAAAUAAUUAUGGUUUAAAUUUGUACUUUCUAAUUCACUUCAUUGUUUUAACUUACAGUAAAAAUGUACUGUAUAUAAGAG